rnacentral:tRNA from 1 species
AAGGAGUUAGUUAAUUCAUAACAUUAGAGCGUCAAUCUAAAAUUACUAUUAUCUUAGUACCCCUUG